CGCAGGUAGCCAAAGAAACUGCGCCCUGCCGCCCAUCAGGAUCCCCAUGCCCCAUACCCCGCCGCCAAUCCCCAUACCCCGCUGCCGAUCAGAUCUGCGCAGCCGUCGUGCGAUCUGCGCACUCCACAGCACCGCCGCCGCGGAACGACUGUCGCCGCCACGUUUCUGGAUCGCUGGCAGUUUUUGGAUCACGCGCCGCCACGGAACGUGCGAUCGGCGACGCUGUACGGUUUCAACCCCAGUUACAUAUGGGGACUCCACACAGCAAGCCAGCGGAACAGACGACUUCAUCACAUGUACCUCCAGGCCCGAUGGAGGGGACAAGUGUUGAUGACUCUAACGAAGGGAUUAUACCCGUAGCCGAUGAUGUUGACAAAAUUUACCCACGUAGUACAGGAGUCCAUACUACUCCCUCCGAACGUAUGAUACUUGAGACCGAUGGUGAUAGCACAUAUGAUACUCCAGGUAUAUAUCUACCUCCAUAUAUAUGUUCAGCUACAUAUUUUGUUAUACAUGUCAAACACCAUCACAGGAGAUGUUGCAGGCCCGAUGGAGGGGCCAAAUGGUGACGACUCUAACGAAGGGGUUAUACCUGGAGUCGACGAUGUUCACAAGAAUUACCCAAGUAGUCCAGUAUUAAGGCUGUGCAUAUAUACUGAUAU